rnacentral:misc_RNA from 1 species
GCGACGAAGAUAACCUUCAUAGUUGCCGAAGAAGAAGGUGCGAUCUUUGCGGAUCGGCCCGCCAAUGGAGGCACCGAACUGGUUAUAGCUCAGCGCUGCCCGAGGGUUUCCCGCGCGGUUCUGGAAGAAGUUGUUCGCGUCGAGCGAUUUGUUGCGGAAGAACUCGUAGACUGUCCCGUGAAUCUGGUUGGUGCCGGACUUGAUGCUGAAGUUCACCACGGCGCCGGCGCUGCGGCCGUACUCGGCAGCGAAGUUGUUGGUCUGGAUACGAAACUCCUGCGUGGCGUCCACGGGAGGCACAUAAGCAGGAGAAUUCAUCUGCGCAUAGUCGAGCGCAAGACCUUCCACCAGCACAGUGUUGGCGUUUGCGAGUCCGCCAUUGACCGAAAAAUUAGACCAUUGACCUUUGCCGCCAAAGCCGCCCUGGAUGCGGACGCCAGGCGUCAGCGCCACAAGCGCGAUGGGAUUGCGGCCGCUCAACGGGAGUUCGGUCACCUGCUUAUUCUCGACCACGGUUCCGAGUGUGCUGGUCGCGGCGUCGAGCAAUACCGCGCUGUCCUGCACAUUCACGGUCUCCACUACGCCCCCGACCUCCAUAGUGAAGUCGACGCGCGCGACCUGAUCAAUGGCCAGCGUAAUGGGACCGCGCUUAACCUGGCGGAAUCCGGGAGCUUCGACACUCACUUCAUAGCGGCCAGGAAGCAGCGCCGUCACAAGAUAGUUGCCGCGUUCGUUCGUAACCGACUCCCGAGUCACGCCGGUCUCUGUGUUGGUUACGAGCACGCGCGAAUUCGAGACGACCGCGCCCGUGGGAUCCGAUACAGUGCCUGUUACCUGGGCGGUUUGCGCAAGGCCAACUCCGGAGAGUAACGUAGUGGCCGCUAUACCCAUGAACAAUCGAUACGGUGGCGUUCUCAACAUGGACCCUCCUCUUCGAGAUAAGGUGAGCCGAUUAUAUAAGAACGCUUGUUUGGAGUGUUGACCAUUGUUAGUCUCUACUUCGGCGCUUACGGGGUGAAUCGUGACCCAACGGAGCUUAGCCGGACUAUUGCCCGGAAGUCGCGAGCAUUGGCAAAUCUACGCCGGACGGAUUCCAGUUUGACGCAUAACGACCGAACCGCUGAUGUGCCGACUGACGCGGGUCCGAAGUCUCCUUGGAGGAAGCGUCCCGAAGCCCAUACUGAUCAAUGGCUGUCACGUCCUCCAACGCCAAGCGGUAAGACGGAGCAAUGCGAACCGGUCCGCUCUAGUCAACGGCGUCUGAAACCGAACUCUCCCUCGACGCGCUGCAAACCCAGGAGAACGGAUUCCGGAAUCUGAUAGAGGCUCUCAGGAUUAGGCAGGUACCUUCCGCUAUAUCCGAAGCGAGAGCCAGUUGUGAACCCUCGCCGAAGUAGCCAGACGCCAGCCAAUUCCGGGAUACCUGGCAUCUCUCGCAAUACAGCACGCGAGAUUUCCGACCAAUAUCUUUCAAACGCAUUCCGGUCGACGGCGGAAACAUCCAAAAUCACAGCUCUAGCGUCUCUAAUCCUCGCAGUUGUUUAGUCUCGCGCUUUAGCUUCUUUCUAAUCUUUUCAGCCGGCGUGCCAGCAAGGCGCGGGAAGCGCAGGAAGAUACGGACAUGUUCAGAGACAUUGUCGGGUUGUGGCACCGUUCGUGGCGAUGCGUCCCCAUCGAUUCUUGGUAUCCCACCGCUACUGACCAUGACGUCCCAAUCGUGCACACCUCCGUAGACAUUCAGAUCUCCUAUGUCCAAAUCAAGUGGGCUCGCAUCUUCUUCGGGAGUGACCUUUUCCAAUGCAACAGACCAGUUCUCGGAAUUCUCGCCUACCGCCCGUUCACCGCCACUCACGUAGCGCUCGCAGGCGUCAAUGACCGACGCCCGAAGCUUCGCUU